rnacentral:rRNA from 1 species
GAUGAACGCUGGCGGCGUGCCUAAUACAUGCAGGUCGAACGCUGGAAAUCUAGCUUGCUAGAUUGAAGGAGUGGCGAACGGGUGAGUAAUACAUAAGCAACCUACCCACGAAGACGGGGAUAAUCUCUGGAAACGGGGACUAAUACCGGAUAGGUAAUCGGAAGGCAUCUUCUGAUUAUUAAAGGUUAAAAACACUGGUGGAUGGGCUUAUGGCGCAUUAGUUAGUUGGUGAGGUAACGGCCCACCAAGACGAUGAUGCGUAGCCGGCCUGAGAGGGUGAACGGCCACAUUGGGACUGAGACACGGCCCAGACUCCUACGGGAGGCAGCAGUAGGGAAUUUUCGGCAAUGGGGGAAACCCUGACCGAGCAACGCCGCGUGAGUGAUGACGGCCUUCGGGUUGUAAAGCUCUGUUGUAAGGGAAGAACGGUAGAUAGAGAAUAUCUAAAUGACGGUACCUUACCAGAAAGCCACGGCUAACUACGUG